rnacentral:lncRNA from 1 species
CAGUGUGCAAUUGUGCCCAGACUUGAAAAUGCUAACAUUUGCUAUUGGACAAGUUCAAUUUUGCUUCCAAAAAUUGAUUUCAACAACCAGUUCUGUGAUUUCUUGUUAUGUCUUUUAUUGUUUUAAAAUCUAUUCUAGCACCAUUGUUAGGUUCAUUUUGAGUGCUCACUUUAUUCAUUGCCUUGUUUAUUGCUUGUCCUGAUUGGCUGUUCCAGUUUUGUCUCUCACAUGAAUCCUGUUCUGCUGUUUCUGUAAUUGAAGCUUUUNUUGCUUUAUUAAUCUGUUCUCAAGUCAGUUGUUCUCAAUUGUGCUGCUGUUUNUCAUUGCCAUUACUUUGUGCUUGACUGUUUGAGUGGCUUAUUUGUUUUGUCCAUCACCCUUGCCUUAGCCUUACCCAUCCCUAUUUGAGAAUCUGAUUCCAUUUGAAUUUUUGGAAAAUUGACAGAAGGUAAGGUGAAUGGUAGUCUUUUAGGUGGAGGUUAUCCACAGGAUUCUUUGGUUUUGACUGAAAAGUUUCUUUAAAAACCUACCCUUGAGUGUGCAAGUUGUUAGAGAGAGUCCCUGAGUUUUGAGAGAUUUGUGAGGCUGACUUGUCGUAUUUUCUUGGCAAUUUGAGAGAGAUUUAGUUCUAACUGGUUUGAUGAUUGCUCAUUGUGCAGGAAAAGGAAGUUGAGUGAGCAGGCAAAUCUUGUUUAAAACUGCCACAUGCAGAUUUCAGUUGUUUUCCAGAUUGAUUGAUUCAAUUAUUUGAUUUGUCCUGCUUUGCUUUUGAAAAUCUUUCACUGCACAUACUGUUGCACUUAUUUUUCAUUGAGAAAUUAAUUUCCAGCAAUCUAUCAUUCCUUGAUUUGAUCCGAAUGGUCCACUGAUUUUGAAUUAGUUUACAACAUUGUUUUGACCAGUUUGGAUAAGUCACUUCCCACAUUAUACAUUGUUUGAUAUUACUGGUUUAUUAUUAUUGCUGUUUGAAUCAGAUGCAAAUACCAUUGGCUAAAUUAGUUUACUACAUUGUUUUGACCAGUUUGGAUAAGUCACUUCCCACAUUAUACAUUGAUUGAUAUUACUGGUUUAUUAUUAUUGCUGUUUGAUCAGG